rnacentral:miRNA from 1 species
GUAAGUUGGCUGCGAUUUGAAU